UACGUAGGGUGCGAGCGUUGUCCGGAAUUACUGGGCGUAAAGAGCUCGUAGGUGGUUUGUCGCGUUGUCCGUGAAAACUCACAACUCAAUUGUGGGCGUGCGGGCGAUACGGGCAGACUGGAGUACUGCAGGGGAGACUGGAAUUCCUGGUGUAGCGGUGGAAUGCGCAGAUAUCAGGAGGAACACCGGUGGCGAAGGCGGGUCUCUGGGCAGUAACUGACGCUGAGGAGCGAAAGUGCGGUGGGAGCAACAGG
rnacentral:rRNA from 1 species